GGCCCUGUAGUUCAAUGGAUAGAACGGAAGUUUCCUAAACUUUAAAUAUAGGUUCGAUUCCUAUCGGGGCUAC
rnacentral:tRNA from 1 species